rnacentral:rRNA from 1 species
UAAGCGGAGGAAAAGAAACUAACAAGGAUUCCCCUAGUAACUGCGAGUGAAGCGGGAAAAGCUCAAAUUUAAAAUCUGGCGGUCUUGCGGCCGUCCGAGUUGUAGUUUAGAGAAGUGUUUUCCGCGCUGGACCGUGUACAAGUCUCCUGGAACGGAGCGUCAUAGAGGGUGAGAAUCCCGUCUUUGACACGGACUACCAGUGCUAUGUGAUGCGCUCUCGAAGAGUCGAGUUGUUUGGGAAUGCAGCUCAAAAUGGGUGGUGAAUUCCAUCUAAAGCUAAAUAUUGGCGAGAGACCGAUAGCGAACAAGUACCGUGAGGGAAAGAUGAAAAGCACUUUGGAAAGAGAGUUAAACAGUACGUGAAAUUGUUGAAAGGGAAACGCUUGAAGUCAGUCGCGUCCUUCGAGACUCAACCUUGCCUUCUGGUUUGGUGUACUUCUCGUUGGACGGGCCAGCAUCACUUUCGAUCGUCGGAAAAGGGCAGGGGAAAGGUGGCACUCUUCGGGUGUGUUAUAGUCCCUUGUCGUAUACGAUGGUUGGGAGUGAGGAACUCAGCGCGCCUUAUGGUGGGGGCUUCGGCUUACCUUCGCGCUUAGGAUGCUGGCAUAAUGGCUUUAAACGACCCGUCUUGAAACACGGACCAAGGAGUCUAACAUGCCUGCGAGUGUUCGGGUGGAAAACCCGUGCGCGUAGUGAAAGCGAAAGUUGGGACCUCUGUCGUGGAGGGCACCGACGCCCGGACCAGAACUUCUGUGACGGAUCUGCGGUAGAGCAUGUAUGUUGGGACCCGAAAGAUGGUGAACUAUGCCUGAAUAGGGUGAAGCCAGAGGAAACUCUGGUGGAGGCUCGUAGCGAUUCUGACGUGCAAAUCGAUCGUCAAAUUUGGGUAUAGGGGCGAAAGACUAAUCGAACCAUC